CUUUGAUACAAAGUAAAAACGUACUUCUGCGUUCUUUGGAAUCAUUUGCGAUAGAAAGUGGAUGCAAAGCAUUGCGGGCUUGUUUGUGACGGUGGAUUGCAUUCCCACGAAGACCACCACCUUCCACCGGCAAGAGCACAUCUACAAAAGUAAAAGAUAGAGAGUCAUGUGGUUAUCCAGUAACCAUGAACUAUGUCGAUUUCAAGGGCGACGAAAAGCGCCACCAUGAGUCGAUAUUGUAGCACCAAGAAGGAACACAGUAUUAAUUGCAAUGCUUUUAAGGGCAUCUGAAAUAGCUAUUAUGCCACCCUGAGGAUCUCAUGAAACUUUUGGAAAACACCCUUUUGGAUAGGGGAGAAACUCUAAAGAAUUGACUUCGACAUGUUUGACUAACAUUAUACAUUUAAUUAUCAUUGUUUUAUAUCAUACACUACCAAAAGAAUCCGUCCAGUUUCUGAUUAAUAAUAAUAAAAUGCCAUUAC